UCCCUGGUGGCUCAGAGGUUAAAGUGUCUGCCUCCAACGCGGGAGGCCUGGGUUCAAUCCCUGGGUUGGGAA
rfam:Ovis aries breed Texel chromosome 13, whole genome shotgun sequence.